GAUGAACGCUGGCGGCGUGCCUAACACAUGCAAGUCGAGCGAUUUACUUCGGUAAAGAGCGGCGGACGGGUGAGUAACGCGUGGGUAACCUGCCUCAUACACAUGGAUAACAUACCGAAAGGUAUGCUAAUACAAGAUGAUAUAAGAGAUUCGCAUGGAUUUCUUAUCAAAGCUUUUGCGGUAUGAGAUGGACCCGCGUCUGAUUAGCUAGUUGGUAAGGUAACGGCUUACCAAGGCGACGAUCAGUAGCCGACCUGAGAGGGCGAUCGGCCACAUUGGAACUGAGACACGGUCCAAACUCCUACGGGAGGCAGCAGUGGGGAAUAUUGCACAAUGGGCGAAAGCCUGAUGCAGCAACGCCGCGUGAGCGAUGAAGGCCUUCGGGUCGUAAAGCUCUGUCCUCAAGGAAGAUAAUGACGGUACUUGAGGAGGAAGCCCCGGCUAACUACGUGCCAGCCGCCGCCGUAAAAC
rnacentral:rRNA from 1 species